GAGGAGAGCAGGCCAGCUCCCGCGGCGGCCUGCUCCUCUGCCCACACUUUUGGUUUUCUAACUUUAAUUCAUCACACACCUAACCUCGCCCGGCGAAAACGCAACACCACACAAGAAAACUGCUUUGGGAAGAAAACCGCCAAUCGGGUGUUUGUCGAAGCCUCGUUGUUGGAUUCAAGCCCUGACCCCGGCGAGCGGCGCUCUCGCCGGGCCGCAGCCUAUCGCUCCACCUCGGCCGUUCAGCUGCGAGGAUGUCAUCUUUCUUUUUUUAUCGCCCGCGCUCCCUCCUCCCUCCCUGUCUCUUUCUUCCUUUUCUUUUUUAAUUCCUCUUUCUUCUCCCCCUCCUCUCCUUUUCUCGCACCGCUAUGUCCCACUUGCUCUUAAAGGGAUAGGGUUUCCUCUCUGGACACCCCCCUCUCAUUUCCGCCUCCCUCGGCGGAGCCCGUCCUCUCCCCUUCCUUCCUUCCUGGCUCGGGUCGGCCGACGCAAAAUGCACAACAGCGUUAUAUAUGUGUGUGUGUGUGUGAGUUGUUUUUUUCUCUCUCCUUCGUCGGGCCAGCUGGAGCAGAUCUCUGGAGCAGAUCUCCUGCCUCACCGCAGAAAACAGCCGGAACGAGAGAUGACAGACGCAUCUUAAAGGGAGGUGCGCGCAGAGCCUCCCGGUCGGCCUACAAUAAUGAUGUCAGAGUCAGAUAUAGUACACAGGGCCAACAACAGCUCAGCACACACACACACACACACACACACACACACACACACACACACACACACACACACACACACACAGUGAAGGAGAAUAAAUGUCAGCAUAUAAAUACAUAUAAACAGUCUGAAAAUAUCCUGAAUAUAAUACUUGAUGUUGAUGACACUUUAUUUACCUCCAAGAGCGUCUAUUAUAUUAUUAUAUUCAACUGGAGCUGAAACGAUUAGUUGAGCGACAGAUUCUUCUUCUGUUAAAGGUACAAUCAUCCAAAUUCAAAGGUUCCAGUUUCUCAAAUGUGACUAAUAUUUGAUUGAAAACUGAUCAUCUAUGUGUGUUUGACUGUUAGUCAGACAACAUGAGACACUGGCUUGUUUAAGUGUACCAUUCUGACAUUUUAUGGACCAAAUGACUAAACAAUCAAUCAAGAAAAUAAUCGGGGGAAAAAAAUCAUCAAUGCUUAAAAUAAUCUACAGCUGAAACUAAUGAUUUUACAGAUCAAAUAAUCUGUUGAUUGUU